GACGAACGCUGGCGGCGUGCUUAGCACAUGCAAGUCGAACGGUGAAGCGCUUGCCUUUUUGGUGGGUGUGGAUGAGUGGCGAACGGGUGAGUAACACGUGAGUAACCUGCCCUCUUCUUCUGGAUAACCUCAUGAAAGUGGGGCUAAUACGGGGUAUUCCGGGUCUGUCGCAUGGCGGGUUUGGGAAAGAUUGCGCCUUUGGGUGUUUUCGGUGGGGGAUGGGCGCGCGGCCUAUCAGCUUGUUGGUGGGGUGAUGGCCUACCAAGGCGGUGACGGGUAGCCGGACUGAGAGGGUGGACGGCCACACUGGGACUGAGACACGGCCCAGACUCCUGCGGGAGGCAGCAGUGGGGAAUAUUGCACAAUGGGCGCAAGCCUGAUGCAGCGACGCCGCGUGAGGGAUGGAGGCCUUCGGGUUGUGAACCUCUUUCGCCAGUGAAGCAGGCCUGCUCCUGUGUGGGUGGGUUGACGGUAGCUGGAUAAGAAGCGCCGGCUAACUACGUG
rnacentral:rRNA from 1 species